rnacentral:rRNA from 1 species
GAUGAACGCUGGCGGCGUGCCUAAUACAUGCAAGUCGAACGAAACUUCUUUAUCACCGAGUGCUUGCACUCACCGAUAAAGAGUUGAGGGGCGAACGGUUGAGUAACACGUGGGCAACCUGCCCAAAAGUGGGGGAUAACACUUGGAAACAGGUGCUAAUACUGCAUAACCAUAGUUACCGCAUGGUAACUAUGUAAAAGGUGGCUAUACUACCGCUGUUGGAUGGGCCCGCGGCGCAUUAGCUAGUUGGUAGGGUAAAGGCUUACCAAGGCAGUGAUGCGUAGCCGAAUUGAGAGGGUGAUCGGCCACAGUGGGACUGAGACACGGCCCAGACUCCUACGGGAGGCAGCAGUAGGGAAUCUUCCACGAUGGGCGAAAGCCUGAUGGAGCAACGCCGCGUGGGUGAAGCAGGUCUUCGGAUCGUAAAACCCUGUUGUUAGAGAAGAAAGUGCGUGAGAGUAACUGUUCACGUUUCGACGGUAUCUAAACAGAAAGCCACGGCUAACUACGUG